GCCGUCUGCGCCCGGAGGACAGGACCUGCCCCGGCUUCUGGGUUCCCCAGGGAUCCCCAGAUUGAGCUGCCCCCAGAUCCUUGUGCUUCAGCCUGCUCCCAAGGCGGGCAGAGGGUGAGCUGAGACAGACUGAGCUCUAACCAGCAUUGACGUCAUGGAAAGCGGAUUUCUUUCAUUCCUGCCUAGCAUUUAUUGUCCCUGCUCCGUCUGCGUGUGGAAAACCCCAGGCAAAGGUUAGAUCUUGCUGGAUGGAUGAGGCACAGACAGAGGGCCUGGGGAUGGAGGUGGGCUUGGGUGUGGGCUGGUGAGCAGUCGGGGAGGCCGGGCAGGAGAGGGGUCCUGGGCUGAGCCCAGGAAGGUAGCAGUUUUCAGCCCCAAAGGAGAAUCGGGUAACUUCGAGAAGGCCUGAGCGAAGCCCCAGCACGCACCAGGGCACAGAGCCCAGGAGCUCCGGGGUGCACGCAGGCUGGGGGACGCUGCAGGAGGGCUUGGGGGAGGCCGGCAGGAGAAUAGAGCAGCCUGCAAAGUGGGCAGCCCCGGCAGGGCUCCCAGUUUUGCGUUCGGGGAAGUUCCCUCCGGCUGUAGUGUUCUGGACUUUGACCCAAAGACCCUGUCUGGGUUGCUGAGUCUCACCCGGGUGUCGUGACAACUCUGUUGGUUGUCGUCUGUGACGUGGACCGCGUGCAUCUGAUCCACGAGGAGUAAGAAAGUACGGCAAUUUGCUAAACGAGCCAGAAGAAUUAACGAGUUUGCACAGUUUUAAGAACAAAGCCUUUAAGAAACCCAAGGUCUGUGGGGUUUGCAAGCAGAUUAUUGACAGCCAAGGGAUUUCAUGCCGAGCCUGCAGGUACUGCUACCACAAGCCAUGUGAACCUAAGGUGGGCACCUCUGCCACGAGAGCCUACGGCGUCCUCAGAAACCGCCACGGACGCGGGUCCUGGUGACAGCCGACGCCCGCCGGCGUAAGUGAGGAGUUGUAGCCAGGAGCUUACGUCUGCUGGUUCCCCUGCAUCUCCAGACACAGCUGUCUUCCCCACCGUGUCCCAGGUGUGGUCCGUCGGCCCCUCCCCGCAUCGGUCCAGCAAACGGGGAC
rnacentral:lncRNA from 1 species